rnacentral:rRNA from 1 species
UACGAAGGGGGGCUAGCGUUGCUCGGAAUCACUGGGCGUAAAGCGCACGUAGGCGGAUCUUUAAGUCAGGGGUGAAAUCCCAAGGCUCAACCUUGGAACUGCCUUUGAUACUGGGGGAUCUCGAGUCCGGAAGAGGUUGGUGGAACUGCGAGUGUAGAGGUGAAAUUCGUAGAUAUUCGCAAGAACACCAGUGGCGAAGGCGGCCAACUGGUCCGGUACUGACGCUGAGGUGCGAAAGCGUGGGGAGCAAACAGGG